UACGGAGGGUGCGAGCGUUGUCCGGAAUCAUUGGGCGUAAAGAGCGCGCAGGCGGCUUGGCAAGUCGGGUGUGAAAUCCCGGGGCUCAACCCCGGGACUGCAUUCGAUACUGUCAGGCUAGAGGUAGGUAGGGGAGAUCGGAAUUCCUGGUGUAGCGGUGAAAUGACGCAGAGUAUCAGGAGGAACACCGGUGGCGAAGGCGGAUCUCUGGGCCUUACCUGACGCUCAGGCGACGAAAGCUAGGGGAGCGAACAGG
rnacentral:rRNA from 1 species